rnacentral:lncRNA from 1 species
CCGAGGGUGGUGAGGGGCGAGGGUGUGGGAAAGAGGCGGCGAUGGGCGCGCCCGCGCGGGCUGCCUGGACGUGUCCGUAGCCCCGAAGGCCCCGGGGGCAGCCCGGUGCCUUUUUUACAGCAAACCAGUCGAUGUUAAAAAACGGCUUGGCCGCUCUCCAGGAGCGAGGGCGGAGGUAUGCGGUGAGCACAGGCGGGAGCCCGCAGCGGUGCUGGGGGACGGUGCUGCACCGGGGCAGGUGGGCCCCGUGCCUCAAACACUGCCGGCCUCCGCGGGGCAGCGCUCUUCAAACCCAGCAGUCGUUUCUUCUAAUAAAUAAUGCACACGCGUCUCUAUAUACAGGUAUGUACGUAGGAAUAACCCGAAUCUGGCCCAACCCUUCGCAUUUAUUCCUUUAGAAGUUUGAGGGAGAUGGAGUUGUUACUGUGUGACCGCUAUGAGGGAGGUUGUGGUGAAGAGGCCUCUUCUCCCAGUAACAGCUACAGGACGUCAGGUAAUGGCCUUAAGUCGUACCAGGGGAGGUUCAGGUUGGAUAUUAGGAAACAUUUCUUGUCAGAAAGAGUGGCGAGGCACUGGCACAGCUGCCCAGGGAGGUGGUGGAGUCACCGUCCCUGGAGGUGUUCAAGAACUGUGGCACUGAGGGACGCGGUCAGUGGGCACAGUGGGGGUGGGCUGAUGGUUGGACUUGAUGAUCUCGGACAUCUUUUCCAACCUUAAUGAUUCCAUGGCUCUGUGAUUCUACGUCCCGCUGACACCACAAGCACUGGAUUGCCCCAUUGUGGCAUCUGGCUGUUCUUUACGGCACCUCCGAGACCAAUGGCCAAGGUGGAGUCAAGAAACACAAUGGCUCGGACAAAAUCUCACUGCCCGAUCUCAUUUUCGGGCUGCUCAUUUCCUGAGUAUGACGAUAUAGAGACCGGCUGUCCCAACCCAUCUCAGAAAGUGUUGGUGGCAGCGUGAGGGCAAGGCGGGUGGGGGUGAUGAGGCAUGGCAGCAGCUGCCACGGGACCAGUGUCAUCACCUUAUUGCUGGAAGGCCAGAGAGCAAGGAACGAGCUCCCUCGCAAGGAUAGAAGGAAUAACAGGAUCCUUUCGCUGUAAGAACCCAAACAGAGCCUGCAGAGUUCUAUUUUCUCAGGCUUCUGUUCCCACCAGAACUUUUCCAGGGCAGUUACAGACAGUACAUUGAGGAAGCUGAUCUUGUGACAAUAAACACUGCACCGUGUGUUUAGGUUUGCUUUCUUUCCUGAUACUUGCUGCAUUUUCUGUGAGUCUUCAAUGGAGAUGGAUGCAUUCCUGUGGUAUAGGAGCUCUAGAGAGUCGUAUCAAUGACGAAAAGGAUUAAAAUUCAAAGUUAAUGUAUGUAUCACAUCAGAAUGAAGGGAAAUCUCUCCCUGUUGCUCGCUGGUGGUUUCUCCUGUGCCAUGCCAAGGUGUGAGCCUACAGAUUUCGGCACUUCUUUCCUGGAUCUGUUUGAAGAAUGAACGUCACUGAGAAGGCUGUGUGAUCCAAACCAGCUUUCCUGGCCUGAGCUGUUCAUUACCAUCACACCAAGCAUGACUGUAAAUGACCUUCUGUACCCUUGAUUGUAACUUCUGAGUACAGUAAACACCGCCUGGACAUCGCCUCUGCAAAAAUCUCCCCUUUCUUCCCCUGGGGCUCUUGUCAGCUCCAGGAUGACAGGAAGCAUCUGCAUCAGCUCCCAGCAACACUUCAGUGGUGCUUGCAGACAAAUUCGUAUUUCCCAAAGAUGGGAAGAAGAUUCCCAGAAGAAGGAGGUCAACUGCCUCAGACAGAAGGGCCAUGGAAGAGCCCCUUGGACACUCCCCUUGGCGGACAAUAUGCUGAUGCACGUUAGUGACUUGAUAGCGAGCUCUUGCUUUGUGGGGGCUGCUGAAGGAUGUCCUUGGUGCUUCUGUGCAGUUACGGGCUCACUGAGUCUCUCCACCAGCAUGCCACUGUGGGUUUGGCUGCAAGGCUUUCAAAGCCUGAGUGCAGCGAGCAGUGCCCGGGUGGCGUUUCUGAUGGCAUCCAUGAUGUGUCUUCUGGUAGAGGAAUGAAUAGAGCUGCUAACCACUGACCCUUGCAAACCUGCCAGAGGGAAAAAAAACAAUAAAGGAAAGUAGGCAGCAGAGCAGGGCCACACUAUUUCUAGCAACUGAGAGCUCUGAUCAGGAGAUGGACAGGUGAGGAUUUCAUUGCACUGGGAGGCAGGCUGCAGUGUCUUCCAGGCCCGAGCGGUCUGCCUGCUGUGGGCCACCACAGCAUACCCAAUAGUGUGCUAACUGUUGCUGUUUAAUCUCCAGCAUCUUGUUUGACGCCUCGGUGUAAUAAUGAUGGAAAUAAUAAAUGGCGUGCUACAAAGCCGUGUGCGUGGACUCGCUUUGUGCUGACGGCGGUGCCUUGCUCCCGGCGCGGCUCGGUGCCAGCCUGCUUCCAGCUGAGUCAGUUGGAGCAGGCAAAGGCCCAGCUCAACAGCUGGC